rnacentral:rRNA from 1 species
UACGAAGGUGGCAAGCGUUACUCGGAAUUACUAGGCGUAAAGGGCAGGUAGGUGGUUUGAUAAGUCUGUUGUGAAAGCUCCCGGCUUAACUGGGAGAGGUCAACAGAAACUAUCAGGCUUGAGUAUGGGAGAGGGUACUGGAAUUCCCGGUGUAGCGGUGAAAUGCGUAGAUAUCAUUUGGAACGCCAAUGGUGAAAACAGGUAGCUGGGGCUGUGCUGACACUGAGACACGAAAGCCAGGGGAGCAAACGGG